rnacentral:sRNA from 1 species
GCUGGGCAGGGUGGUGCAUGCCUGUAAUCCCAGCUACUCAGGAGGCUGAGGCAGGAGGAUUGUGGUUCAAAGCCAGCCUCAGCAAAAGCGAUGCACUAAGCAACUCAGUGAGACUCUGUCUCUA